ACUCUGUUUUUGAGUAUUCAGAACCAAGAUGGUUACUGCUGGGGGGCUCCCAAGAGAAGCAGUAAUGACCUUGUGAGUUGGGCUGCAGAAGAAAAAUGACCAAACCUCCCCCAGCCUUUGUUGCCCAAGCCCCAUCCUCCCUCCCCAGCUGAAGGCUGCUCCAGGAAGGACGGAUGGAGCAUGUGCGUUGCCUCCCCCACAAAAAUGAUGACGAGGUUGAAGGAGAAAAUAAGUUACAUUACAGUUUCCAAAAUGGUUCUCGCUCUCCGCUGAAGAUGGGCCGCCGUCGGGGCUGCCACGCGCUCUCGGGCCCAGCUUGUGCUUUGCAAGAAGAGGGAAUAUAACUAGACUGUUAUUUUAGGUUAAAAUAGCCAAGAGACAGACGCCUUCGCCUCAAAAAUAUUCUGAGACACAUAGAAGUAGAAGGAAACAAGUCUCUUCAGUCACAAAAUGUCGUACAUCCCGCAUAUACUAGAUUCAAUUAAUUUAAUAAAAUAGAAUAUACAUAGAGA